rnacentral:lncRNA from 1 species
AAGAAAGCUGUGCACGUCAGGACACCACUUGUUCACUGGCUCAAUGUGUCCACUUGAAAUGAGCCUUCUAUUUUCAUCAUUCACCUGCUGAACAUUAUAAUUAGGAACAGUGAGACAAUUACACUUUUUUCUUGCCUGCUCUUUCUUGUGUGUAGUCACAAGUGAUUAAUAAAUAGAGAAAAAGAAUAUAAAGAGCAAAAUGGGUAAUAAAAAGCAAUAUCAUAUAUUAUAUCACGUAUGGCCAUCAAUUUCAAUUUAUUGUUUCCCGUACUCAAUGCAGUGAACGUUACUGAUGCUUGGUGGUGGAUGGUGAGAAACACAGAGGAACUUGACUGUUGCAAUGUAUAAACACUUAUACUACAUAUACUGUUUUAUAUAUAUUGUAUAUACUAUACAAUAAUAUUUUGCAGUACUU